rnacentral:lncRNA from 1 species
AUAGCCUCCUGGCGCAGCUUCAUAGCGAUACUCAGUCACACUAAUUUACUGAUUUAAUCAGUCACCCUCCAUGAUCUGGUGCCAUGUGACCAUCGUUCCGACAGACGGCGAUGACUCUGCCACAGGUUACUGCACAGGUAGCUGUCAGAGAGAGGGUAGGUAGACGUGCCUAUUCUAGCCCUAUCGUCUACAGAGGAUCGAGUCGACGAGGCAAAACAGCUGGAUUGAGCAAUGUCUACUGGAGUCAACCCGUAAACGACCGGAGAGUGCUCCUUCGCCCAUAGACAAGAUUCUGUGCCCGUUCGCAUUUUAUUCUCCAUAGUGGAAGCUAUACCGCUUCCACUACGACGAACAUUCUCCCGAAAGCAAUUGCAUUCCGUACAACUAAACGGAUCCCAUUUACAAUGAGCAGGUUGUCGCGCGCACGAGUGCCUGUAAGUAUCUAUCAAGCGAUACCUUCCGCGAAUCCUGGCCACAGCACUAUAGUCAGGACAGCGAAGUCGUCACCAACCAUUUGCGAAUAGCGCCGUGUCUACCGUUGUCUGCGUACGUGUUUGUUCGUUACUAUUUUGUGUAGAUGUUUGUUAUUAGUUGGGGAAGCAGCAUGUCUCGGCACUGAUGCGCAAGGUGCGUCGCCAGAAAACCGCUACCAUCAUUGACUUGUCGCUAGCGCUGUCACUCUCGUCAUUAUCAGCGACAACCUCAGUGAUAACUGCAAAUUACUAUUAGUACUACAUGACAAUGGAGCGGUUGCGCGUCGGAACUAUUUCUAGCGAGCGCUCCGCCCUUCGUGGCAACAGUGCCCCGCGAAAAAUGUCCCUCCACAUGCAGAUAGUCGCUUACUAGCCCGUCAGCCAGUGAACUACCCACAGCGACCAUUUCUUCAUUCUCCUUGCCCGUCGUAGCGCUACCAUGAGGAAUAAACUUAUAUUUGUGUUAUUGAGUAUUAUAUGGUGUUUAUUAGUUUUGCGCAAAUAACUAUGUGUGUGUUUCAAUACGUAUGUAUAUAUGUUUGUAGUAGCUCUAUGGGCCUCCAUAUCUACAUCUGUGUGAGCCCUCGGCGUGUCUCUGUUUGUUUGAAAACGCUUCCGUCUAUUCAUACGUUACUAGUUGCAGAAAAGUAACAGCUACCAACCCUAUAGUAGAUAACAUUGUUAGAUCGGGAUAACACUUAGACAGCCGGUAACUCACGCUUAUGACAUCAAUGUUAUAUAACCACAAAUAGUAUUACAAAACCAUUUUCUCUCUCUCUUGAUAUAUAUAUAUAUAUAUAUAUAUAUAUAUAUAUAUAUAUAUAUAUCGUCAUUCUUUGAAUAGAAUGUACCAGCCGACGAAACGCAAUGAGAUACUGGCAUUAUUACCUAUCAUAUAUUCACACAAUUUGGAAAAACAGCUAACGCUAUAGGAGUGGUAAUUUUUUUUUUGAAUAAAUUCUUAGGCGAACUACAUUCUUAAGAGGCAUGAACGGAUUUGCGACUAGCAAUAAAGAUGAGUCGAUUUAGAUAUUUUAAUAACGUAGUUCUUUCAGAGAUGCUGGUUAACAUCUGCCAGAUACUAGACUGUAAGGAAACAACAAUACAGAAUACUCAGCUAUGUUGAACAUGUCAUGCAGGCUAUGCGUCACUAUGACGAACAAAUGUUAGCAGAUUUUUCUAUGCUUUCAAUGUAAAUUCUUUGCGAUUGGCCGGUGCGAAUGGGGCACGAAAUAUGUAGAGACAACAGUUUGAAUUCAAAAGAAGAAGAACAUAGGUAUGUGCGUAAGUGAAGAGCAUCGAAGGUGCGCACUUUACAUUUCACACAAGAUUAUUUAUUUGUAAGGUAUAGUGAAUAAAGCAAUCCCGCAGUUAUUAGCGCUAAAUAAACAAAACUUGAAAAUGUACCUGGGGUAUUAGUUGGUAUUGGUAUUUUGCUCCGGUGUAUAGGCAUAGCAUAGAAAAGUAGUUGCAAAUGAGAAUAGUUAUUCUCGGUAUUUGUAAAACGUAUGAGAGAAAAUUUUGUACAACAGGUAUUUUGUGCUAUAUUAUGUCGAACAUUGGUUGAAUCAGAUAUAAAGACGCAAAAUGAUAAAUGUUCUUUUUUGCCGCAGAUUUGCGUAUUGAUGAAACAGCUAGCACUAUCGAAUAACUUGAUCCUAAGCCGAAUCAAUAUUUCAGUCAGCAAAUAAGAUGUAUGGCAAAUUCUUUUGGCUGAAAUAAUUUUGCGCCUAAUAGUAUUAUACAAUAGGAAUUUGAGCACUCAUGGAUUGUAAAGAACAGCCGCAUUUGUUUAAUUUUUCUGUCACUUCCAAGUUUUCUCUUAAGUACGUAGUUUUGUCGAACGAACCUGUCUCAUUUAAACUAUAUGACAUGGUAAAAUAGUCGAGAAAGACCCGUUGGUUAUCUUAACACGUUUAUUUGAUCAUUGAAGUAUAAUGUAUCCGAAAUAUAACCAAGCUUGAAAGGUAUGUUAAUAUAUGGUAUAAAACUUUUCUCAGUAUGCACAUAUGUUCAUUUGGUUGUAUCUUUGAAUUUUGUUUUAUUAGUUUCUUCAAUCCUUGAGUAACUUUCUUGCUAGGAAACUUGCCGAUUUGCAGUACUGUGUCAGCGUUACAUGCAUACACUUCUAGAAAGAAGUUCCAACACCUGCACGACUAUUCAUUUGGUAACACACGAAAUUGUGGCUAUCAGGCCAUCUCGCUAUAUACAUGUUUCAUAGACAAAAAUAUCUCGAGUUUUCCGAUGCCGCCGUUAAGCAUUCCAUCAGCCGACGUUUCAUAGAUCGCUUGAUUGACCAAGCACUCAGUUGCCCUCUAUCUUUUCUACAAUAUGACGAUAAUAAAUGAACAGCUUUUCCCACUAGCAGUUGUUAUUAAGUGAAUUCAAAUAGAAACUAACAUCAACACCCAACACAGAUUCCAACAAAAUCAGGAUACCAAUAAAACCUAUAUCAUCCGUUAGUCUAUAAUAUUGUGAUUUAG